rnacentral:rRNA from 1 species
CCUACGGGUGGCAGCAGUGGGGAAUAUUGCACAAUGCUGGAAACACUGAUGCAGCGACGCCGCGUGAGUGACGAAGUCAUUCGUUACGUAAAGCUCUAUCAGCAGGGAAGAAAAUGACGGUACGUGAGUAAGAAGCCACGGCUAACUACGUGCCAGGAGCCGCGGUAAUACGUAGGGGGCAAGCGUUAUCCGGAUGGACUGGGUGGAAAGGGAGCGUAGACGGUGGGCCAAGUCUGGAGUGAAAGGCCGAAGCUUAACUGUGGGACGGCUUGUGAAACUGGCGAACUAGAGUGCGGGAGAGGAUAGCGGAAUUCCUAGUGUAGCGGUGAAAUGCGUAGAUAUUAGGAGGAAUACCGGUGGCGAAGGCGGCUAACUGGACCGUAACUGACGUUGAGGCUCGAAAGCGUGGGGAGCAAACAGGAUUAGAUACCCCGGUAGUC